ensembl:lncRNA
CUUUCCCGUCUGAGCCACCAGGGAAGUCCUAGGUCUGGUAACUACCAUUAUUUUUAUGUUACAAGUGCACUGCAUGUCACGAGAGCUGCCGAGAGCUGUGAUGCGCCCGACAGUCACAGGGACCGCUCUGCCCCCGGGCUUCCAUAGCUGCUCAUCUCUGAAGGAAACGCUGCAUUGCAGUUGGAGGUUACUGAAAAUGGACCUUCUUUUCCAUCCACGUUCACAAAGCCCCUGAAUUCCACCCAAGGACAAGGAUCCGUGGCCGCCUGGCGAUUGUUGAGAGCGUUUUCUACGAGCAUAAGCAUGCUGAAAUGGGGUCACGUGAGCCGGAGGGACAGCGGAGCACUGAGGGGGCCGCCCGGUCCCCGGCGAGUGUUCACAGGAUCUCUGGUCACUGGGCUGUGGUUCCUGCCCCCAGAGGGUCAGGGCAACGUAGGGGUGUGGCCAGGCUCGGAGGAGGCAGCUCCACCCUCCGACCCACCGUUUCCUCUAGCCCUGGAGGUGGAUCAGCGUCUAACAUCCAGCGUCUUUCAAAUUACUGAGGUGAGUAAACCUGAGCACCCCUUUCCUCUCCUACCCAAGAUACUGGGAGUCAGUCUUACCCUCAACCAAGUUCAAGACUGCUGCCAGGUGAGGCGCGCACCCACCCCCUCCCCCGACGCUGUCAUAGCCUAGACGCCUCAACGUCAUCGGUGGGCCGCUGGAGACAGGCGGACUCCCUAGGGCCACGGCGUCCUGGCUGCUGGGGGUCCUGGGGUCACAGGAGGCUCCCCUCACCCUGGCUCCUCUGAGGACACCGGGCGCCCUGCAGGGAUGGGCGUCUGCCCCCCACGCUCAGUCUCGCUCACCAGCCUCUCACCUUCAUCCGCAAACAUGCUCACGGCGAUUGCAUCCGCAGAGUAGCAGCUACCUUUACACCACUCCUGCCAAAGUUACCACAUUUCCACCCCACUAUCUGUUCCAGCUUCCGAGGCCGGUGUCUUCACUUCCUCCUCCCUGUCACCCCCUCCUAUGACCUCCCAGAACUCUGCUUCCAGCCACCAACUCUGCACCGCGCUGCAACAAGGUCAUUAAAAUGCAUGGAACCAAGUCGAGGAGCUCAUCAUUGCCCCACCAUGGUCCCCAAAGACGGCUCUGCGUCCUCCAAGGGCAAAGUCGCGGGGACGCCAGCCAGUCCCUGCACCUGGAAGCUGUCCCCACACCCUCCCUUCCUCCCUCUGAGGCUGCUGCUAGUGUGGCUUUUG